UGCGACGCAGCGGGAGAGAUCGCCUUCAACGGCGGCGCCGAAGGGGUAUCGCCCCAGAAACUCUCAGGCAAAAGGACCGCCGCGCCCUA
rnacentral:ncRNA from 1 species